rnacentral:rRNA from 1 species
UACGUAGGGUGCGAGCGUUGUCCGGAAUUAUUGGGCGUAAAGAGCUCGUAGGCGGUUUGUCGCGUCGAAUGUGAAAGCCCGGGGCUUAACUCCGGGUCUGCAUUCGAUACGGGCAGGCUAGAGUUCGGUAGGGGAGAUCGGAAUUCCUGGUGUAGCGGUGAAAUGCGCAGAUAUCAGGAGGAACACCGGUGGCGAAGGCGGAUCUCUGGGCCGAUACUGACGCUGAGGAGCGAAAGCGUGGGGAGCGAACAGG